UGGGGAAUAUUGGGCAAUGGGGGCAACCCUGACCCAGCGACGCCGCGUGAGGGAAGACGGCCUUCGGGUUGUAAACCUCUUUUGUACGGGAAGAAGGAUGUGACGGUACCGUGCGAAUAAGUCCCGGCUAACUACGUGCCAGCAGCCGCGGUAAUACGUAGGGGACGAGCGUUGUCCGGAAUUACUGGGCGUAAAGGGCGCGCAGGCUGUAGAUCAAGUCAGCUGUGAAAUGUCUGGGCUUAACCCGGGCAUGCGGUUGAAACUGAUGUACUGGAGUGCUGUAGAGGCAAGUGGAAUUCCCAGUGUAGCGGUGAAAUGCGUAGAUAUUGGGAAGAACACCGGUGGCGAAGGCGACUUGCUGGGCAGCAACUGACGCUGAGGCGCGAAAGCCAGGGGAGCAAACGG
rnacentral:rRNA from 1 species